rnacentral:lncRNA from 1 species
UGGGCAGCCUGGGACUGGUCAAACAGGCCAUAACAUCUGGCUUCCAGCCUUAAGACUAAAUGUACCUCUGGGUUCAUCAGAACCUUGGAGCAGAAAACUCAAAGCCAUGGAUGAGCAAAGAACCUGGAUGCCUCCCUCUUAGAUAAACCAGGAGUAAUGGUCUUGUUUAUUCUUCCACUAGUUAAACAGGCAUCAUCAAACAGAACGUGCCAGGAGCCAUGCCAAGUGGAGCAAGGGCUAGCAGCAUCAGCCACCAGCCACGGCCCUCUGUGUGAAAGGGCGAGCAUAAGCUACCUGGGAUGCAGCUACCCUGGCCUGUGCCAGGAGUUUCAGACCAGGGGCUAGGAAGGGAAUGUUGGACUUUUUCCAGAAGAAGCUAAAACUCUCUGGAAGAGAUGACAACAGGACUAGGAAGAUGAGUGAGCUUUGGCCAUGUGGAAAAAGAAAGACUUCUGGUCAAGGUAAAGGGAUACUAUCAUCUGGGGGGCCAAUCAUCUGUGCCAAUCCUGCAUCCAUCUGGAGAUCCCAUAUGCUGAGGCUGGGCAGGAGAGAGCAAAUAAGAAGAAACAAAAGAAGCUAGGAAAGACUCUUUGAACCAACACUCUUGAAAACUAGAGAUCCAGGCUGCUACUCUGACAGCCUCUCAUCCAGCUCGCCAGCAGAGGCCUCAGGAGUUGCUCAACAAAACAAAUAUGUAUCAGGUGCCAAUGUAAUGAUGGGGGCGCAUUU